CCUACGGGAGGCAGCAGUGGGGAAUAUUGCACAAUGGGGGAAACCCUGAUGCAGCGACGCCGCGUGAGUGAAGAAGUACUUCGUUAUGUAAAGCUCUAUCAGCAGGGAAGAAAAUGACGGUACCUGAGUAAGAAGCCCCGGCUAACUACGUGCCAGCAGCCGCGGUAAUACGUAGGGGGCAAGCGUUAUCCGGAUUUACUGGGUGUAAAGGGGGCGUAGACGGCAGAGCAAGUCUGGAGGGAAAGGCGGGGGCUCAACCCCCGGCCUGCUCUGGAAACUGUCCGGCUGGAGUGCAGGAGAGGUAAGUGGAAUUCCUGGUGUAGCGGUGAAAUGCGUAGAUAUUAGGAAGAACACCAGUGGCGAAGGCGGCUUACUGGACUGUAACUGACGUUGAGGCACGAAAGCGUGGGGAGCAAACAGGAUUAGAUACCCCGGUAGUC
rnacentral:rRNA from 1 species